UUAAGGUUGAGCACGAACGAUAGGUACUUUUGAUUAUUAAUGCUUUUGAGUUUUAUCUUCCAGUACAUGCACCCAUGUCGCUAUAGGCAAUCAAAAUCACAUUUGUUAUAUCUAUGACAUUAUUGGCAUGUAAUUCUCCCGUUGCUUACAUCUGAUAUAUUAUUGUUGCUCUAAUUCUUUUAAACUUUCUUUCUUAAUUUGAUUCUCUGAUUGUUUUAUCAAGUUCUAUUGUGCUUCCAAUGGGGAAAAGUUGAAUUUUUCAUCCUUCUCUAUGGCAUUCAUCAUUUUAGAAAAGGUUAGUUUAUGUGAGAUUUUUUACUCAUGACAAUGACUCUCUUACCAUCCUGCCCCUGAUGCCUUUGAAGAUAUUUGCGGUAUGUUCAAAUGCUUAAGUAAUCCUUGUUGUUUUUGCUUUUCUUCUUCUUCUUCUUC
rnacentral:misc_RNA from 1 species